UGAAGGGGAAGUGGGGGGGCUGUCUUAAUUCGUAUUCCGGGUAAAGAAAGAAUUCGUGCAGAGGAGAAAGAGGCCCUUGAGAGCUGCUCCCUACGAAACGUGCAUCGUGGUGAAAGCUGUGGGAGUCCCAGAGCUGGCCCAGUUUACUCCUCCCUCUCAGGCAGCGCCAUGGCCUCAGAGGCACCGUCCGGAUUGUCUCUUUUGUGGGAUAGAGUGGAAAGAGCAGCCGGGCAGCCCAAUCAGGAUCUGUUGCCCUUCCAGGGUCUUGUGACCUUUGAGGAGGUGGCCGUGUAUUUCACGGAGGAGGAAUGGGCCCUGCUGGAUCCUGGCCAAAGAGUUCUGCACAGGGAAGUCAUGGAGGAGAAUUAUGAGACGGUGGCCU